rnacentral:rRNA from 1 species
CCUACGGGUGGCAGCAGUGGGGAAUAUUGCACAAUGGGGGAAACCCUGAUGCAGCGACGCCGCGUGAGCGAUGAAGUAUUUCGGUAUGUAAAGCUCUAUCAGCAGGGAAGAAAAUGACGGUACCUGACUAAGAAGCCCCGGCUACCUACGUGCCAGCAGCCGCGGUAAUACGUAGGGGGCAAGCGUUAUCCGGAUUUACUGGGUGUAAAGGGAGCGUAGACGGUCCUGCAAGCCAGAUGUGAAAGGCCGGGGCUCAACCCCGGGACUGCAUUUGGAACUGUGAGGCUAGAGUGUCGGAGAGGGAGGCGGAAUUCCUGGUGUAGCAGUGAAAUGCGUAGAUAUUAGGAGGAACACCAGUGGCGAAGGCGGCUUGCUGGACGAUGACUGACGUUGAGGCACGAAAGCGUGGGGAGCAAACAGGAUUAGAUACCCUUGUAGUC